GCACAAGCGGUGGAGUAUGUGGUUUAAUUCGAUGCAACGCGAAGAACCUUACCUGGCCUUGACAUGUCGAGAAUCCCUGAGAGAUCGGGGAGUGCCUUCGGGAACUCGAACACAGGUGCUGCAUGGCUGUCGUCAGCUCGUGUCGUGAGAUGUUGGGUUAAGUCCCGCAACGAGCGCAACCCUUGUCCCUAGUUGCUACGCAAGGGCACUCUAGGGAGACUGCCGGUGACAAACCGGAGGAAGGUGGGGAUGACGUCAAGUCCUCAUGGCCCUUAUGGGUAGGGCUUCACACGUCAUACAAUGGCGCAUACAGAGGGCUGCCAACCCGCGAGGGGGAGCCAAUCCCAGAAAGUGCGUCGUAGUCCGGAUUGCAGUCUGCAACUCGACUGCAUGAAGUCGGAAUCGCUAGUAAUCGCGGAUCAGCAAUGUCGCGGUGAAUACGUUCCCGGGUCUUGUACACACCGCCCGUCACACCAUGGGAGUGGGUUUCACCAGAAGCCGGUUGCCUAACCUGCAAGGGAGGGCGCUGACCACGGUGAGAUUCAUGACUGGGGUGAAGUCGUAACAAGGUA
rnacentral:rRNA from 1 species